AUAACCCAUGAACUCAGCCAAUCU
rnacentral:snRNA from 1 species